UACGGGGGGGGCAAGCGUUGUUCGGAAUUACUGGGCGUAAAGGGCUCGUAGGCGGCCAACUAAGUCGGAUGUGAAAUCCCCAAGCUUAACUUGGGAACUGGCAUCCGAUACUGGAUGGCUUGAAUCCGGGAGUAGGGAUGGCAGAAUUCCAGGUGUAGGCGGUGAAAUGACGUAGAUAUCAGGAAGAACACCGGUGGCGAAAGCGGCUCUGGCUAGGCCGCAACUGACGACUGA
rnacentral:rRNA from 1 species